UUAGUUUUGUUACAUAUUUAAUUUACUGCGUAUUUUUGAAGAAGGUUUUUGAGUAUUAUUGUUUAAUAUAGCAUUCCGUUAGUAGUUUUUAUUGUUGUGUACGAUUUGAGAAAAAACAAAAAAAAAAAGAAUGCCGAUCACUGGUCAAGUGUGUAUGUCGACUUAUUGGUCCGAUAGGGAAAAUAUAUCCGACUGUUUAAGAACAUUAUGUUUUCAAUCAAACCGACUAACCGACAUUAUUGGACAAUAUUUUCUGUAAUAAAAUUUGUUUAAUUAUUGUAUCGAUUUUCCCGUUUUUGUAAAGUUGUUCACAAUUGCUGAGAAAAUUCUUAAGAAAACUAAAAAAUCACCUCCUUAAAGUCCACCUUCGCAGUCAUAUUUCCUUUAAGAAAAAGUGCUAUCAUAGUAAAUCGGAGCAAAAUUCCU